rnacentral:rRNA from 1 species
CGAGCAAGGCCGCGUGAACGAUGAAGUACUUCGGUAUGUAAAGUUCUUUUAUUGAAGAAGAAAAAAUAGUGGAAAAACUAUCUUGACGCUAUUCAAUGAAUAAGCCCCGGCAAACUAUGUGCCAGCAGCCGCGGUAAUACAUAGGGGGCAAGCGUUAUCCGGAAUUAUUGGGCGUAAAGGGUGCGUAGACUGUUUAAUAAGUCUAUAGUUUAAUUUCAGUGCUUAACACUGUCCUGCUAUAGAAACUAUUAGACUAGAGUGAGAUAGAGGUAAGCGGAAUUCCAUGUGUAGCGGUAAAAUGCGUAAAUAUAUGGAGGAACACCAGAGGCGUAGGCGGCUUACUGGGUCUUUACUGACGUUGAGGCACGAAAGCGUGGGGAGCAAACAGGAUUAGAUACCCUGGUAGUCCACGCUGUAAACGAUGAGUACUAAGUGUCGGGGAAACUCGGUACUGAAGUUAACACAUUAAGUACUCCGCCUGAGUAGUACGUACGCAAGUAUGAAACUUAAAGGAAUUGACGGGACUCCGCACAAGCGGUGGAUCAUGUUGUUUAAUUCGAAGAUACACGAAAAACCUUACCAGGUCUUGACAUACUCUGCAAAGCUAUAGCAAUAUAGUGGAGGUUAUCAGGGAUACAGGUGGUGCAUGGUUGUCGUCAGCUCGUGUCGUGAGAUGUUAGGUUAAGUCCUAAAACGAGCGCAACCCUUAUCGUUAGUUACCAGCAUGUUAUGAUGGGUACUUUAACGAGACUGCCAAUGAA